ACGCUGGCGGCGUGCCUAAUACAUGCAAGUCGAACGGUCUUUUCUAUGGAAGCUUGCUUCCACUGAGAAGAUAGUGGCGAACGGGUGAGUAACACGCGGGUAACCUGCCCAUAAGAGGGGGGAUAACAUCCGGAAACGGGUGCUAAUACCGCAUAGUUUUCUUGGUCGCAUGAUCGGGAAAGGAAAGACGGCCUUUGUGCUGUCGCUUAUGGAUGGACCCGCGGCGUAUUAGUUAGUUGGUGAGGUAACGGCUCACCAAGACGAUGAUACGUAGCCGACCUGAGAGGGUGAUCGGCCACAUUGGGACUGAGACACGGCCCAAACUCCUACGGGAGGCAGCAGUAGGGAAUCUUCCGCAAUGGACGAAAGUCUGACGGAGCAACGCCGCGUGAGUGAAGAAAGGUUUUCGGAUCGUAAAACUCUGUUGUCAGAGAAGAACAAGUUGGAGAGUAACUGCUCCAGCCUUGACGGUAUCUGACCAGAAAGCCACGGCUAACUACGUGCCAGCCGCUGC
rnacentral:rRNA from 1 species